rnacentral:rRNA from 1 species
UGAGGAAUAUUGGUCAAUGGGCGCAAGCCUGAACCAGCCAUCCCGCGUGAAGGAAGAAGGCGCUAUGCGUUGUAAACUUCUUUUCCAGGGGAAUAAAACUCUGUACGUGUACGGAAUUGAAGGUACCCUGGGAAUAAGCAUCGGCUAACUCCGUGCCAGCAGCCGCGGUAAUACGGAGGAUGCAAGCGUUAUCCGGAUUUAUUGGGUUUAAAGGGUGCGCAGGCGGAGUAGUAAGUCAGUGGUGAAAACCUGCGGCUUAACUGUAGAAUUGCCGUUGAUACUGCUGCUCUUGAGUAUGGUCAAGGUAGGCGGAAUGUGUAAUGUAGCGGUGAAAUGCUUAGAUAUUACACAGAACACCGAUUGCGAAGGCAGCUUGCUGGGCCAUUACUGACGCUCAUGCACGAAAGCGUGGGGAUCGAACAG